rnacentral:rRNA from 1 species
GGCGAAGGCAGCCUUCUGGCCUAACACUGACGCUGAGGUGCGAAAGCGAUGGGGAGCAAACAGGAUUAGAUACCCUGGUAGUCCAUGCUGUAAACGAUGUCAACUAGCCGUUGGGGUCUUUAAGACUUUAGUGGCGUAGCUAACGCGAUAAGUUGACCGCCUGGGGAGUACGGUCGCAAGACUAAAACUCAAAAUGAAUUGACGGGGGCCCGCACAAGCGGUGGAGCAUGUGGUUUAAUUCGAUGCAACGCGAAGAACCUUACCUGGCCUUGACAUGUCUGGAAUCUUGUAGAGAUACGAGAGUGCCUUCGGGAAUCAGAACACAGGUGCUGCAUGGCUGUCGUCAGCUCGUGUCGUGAGAUGUUGGGUUAAGUCCCGCAACGAGCGCAACCCUUAUCCUUAUUUGCCAGCACGUAAUGGUGGGAACUCUAAGGAGACUGCCGGUGACAAACCGGAG